AUUGAACGCUAGCGGGAUGCCUUACACAUGCAAGUCGAACGGCGUGGCGAACGGGUGAGUAAUGUAUCGGAACGCGCCCAGUAGCGGGGGAUAACUACGCGAAAGAGGAGCCAAUACCGCAUACUAUUGGAGCGGCCGCUAUCGGAUGAGCUAGUUGGUGGGGUAACGGCUCACCAAGGCGACGAUCCGUAGCUGGUUUGAGAGGACGACCGGCCACACUGGGACUGAGACACGGCCCAGACUCCUACGGGAGGCAGCAGUGGGGAAUUUUGGGCAAUGGGGGAAACCCUGAUCCAGCCAUCCCGCGUGAGCGAUGAAGGCCUUCGGUUUGUAAAGCACUUUUGUCAGGAAAGCGGUACCUGCAUAAUAAGCACCGGCUAACUACGUGCCAGCAGCCGCGGUAAUUC
rnacentral:rRNA from 1 species